GUGUUGUAUGAAAGGAGAGAAGGUUAGCAUUCCCCUUGACAAGAAUGGAAGAGGUCCUCCUCCUAACAAGCAUAUGGUUAAGACAUUGCCACCUAUUUUGUGGAAUUUAACCAUCAUUUUUC
ensembl:snRNA